rnacentral:misc_RNA from 1 species
AUAUCUAUAUACAUACUUACAAUUCUAGGAUAAGUAAAAGUAAUCAUGAUAAGUGUUGCAAAUGUAGCGAAGAACCAGAAAAUACCCAACGUGCUUUAUAUAAUUGUUCCAAAUAAAGUACUCGGUGGUGAAGGAUUAGAAUCGUAGAACCUGUAAAUAAUAAAGAUGCUAAUUAAAAAUAUAUAGACUAGUUCUAGAAUUACAUUAUACAGAUGUGAAACAACGACCAAGCCACAUGUUAUUACAUUAAAACAACACACAGUAUAUAAACGUUAUAAUGAUUACACAAACAACACCAUUGAAAAACAAAAAAAACAAAAAAAAAAUUCUAACUGCGCUAAAAUAGAGGAAACUAAGCGACGAACGAACAAUUAUUUCAGUAUUAAGCAAACUAAGGACGCGUCGCUAUACUUUUACCGGAGACACUCACGAGCGGCCAUCUUGGACAGCCAUGAACAUAG